rnacentral:rRNA from 1 species
GAGUUUGAUCGUGGCUCAGGAUGAACGCUGGCGGCAUGCCUAAGACAUGCAAGUCGAACGAAGUGGCCCAUAGAAGUGGAGUGCUUGCACAAAGCGGAAAUGGAUUCCCACUUAGUGGCAGACGGGUGAGUAACACGUGGGUAACCUACCUCAGAGACUGGGAUAACAGUUAGAAAUGACUGCUAAUACCGGAUAAUUUGUAAAAGGAAAACUUUUUAUACUAAAAGGAGCUUCGGCUUCACUUUGAGAUGGGCUUGCGGUGUAUUAGCUAGUUGGUGGGGUAAUGGCCUACCAAGGCAACGAUGCAUAUCCGAGCUGAGAGGCUGAUCGGACACACUGGGACUGAGACACGGCCCAGACU